AAUGGCAAUUACAAUGGGAAGCAAGACUGUGAGGUGGAUCGAAUCUGGAAAGAUUGCCUCAGUUCAGAUUGUUCUCUGCAACUCGGGAACAUGUUG
rnacentral:ncRNA from 1 species